AGACACCCAAUCUAGUCCUAGUGUAAUGAAGCAUUAAGAGAUAAGAGCUUUUUCCUCAUUUGCAAAAUGAAGGCCCUGGACUUCUUGAUUUCCAAGGCUUCUUCCAGCUCUACAGACUCAGCUCAACUGAUACUUU